rnacentral:rRNA from 1 species
GACAGAGGAUGCAAGCGUUAUCCGGAAUGAUUGGGCGUAAAGCGUCUGUAGGUGGCUUUUUAAGUCUGCCGUCAAAUCCCAGGGCUUAACCCUGGACAGGCGGUGGAAACUACCAAGCUGGAGUACGGUAGGGGCAGAGGGAUUUUCCGGUGGAGCGGUGAAAUGCGUAGAGAUCGGAAAGAACACCAACGGCGAAGGCACUCUGCUGGGCCGACACUGACACUGAGAGACGAAAGCUAGGGGAGCAAAUGGG